UUGUUGCACAAGGACGUAUUAUAAGCAGUGUGUCAUCCUUGCAGUUAAUUUACAUGGGCAUUGAAACGAUAUUGUUAAUAAUAUACUAUGGAAGUUCGGAGUUCCUAAACAUCCAAGGAGACAUGCCGGCGACACAUUCGACGACUGCUGACUGCUGCUGACGUCGAGCCGAGCCUGCCGACAAAAGAAGGUGCAGUAAGGAUGACCAGCGCCUGCGCAGCUUAUCAACAACAUAUCAGCGCUCCAGGAGGGGCUACCGAUCUUUGUCUACUUCAUCCUCCAAAAUUAAAAACUUAAUUAUCUUUUUCUGA